rnacentral:rRNA from 1 species
GCUUGCUUUCUAGAGACCGGCGCACGGGUGCGUAACGCGUAUGCAAUCUACCUUUUGCAGAGGGAUAGCCCAGAGAAAUUUGGAUUAAUACCUCAUAGUAUAUAUGAAUGGCAUCAUUUAUAUAUUAAAGUCACAACGGCAAAAGAUGAGCAUGCGUCCCAUUAGCUAGAUGGUAAGGUAACGGCUUACCAUGGCUACGAUGGGUAGGGGUCCUGAGAGGGAGAUCCCCCACACUGGUACUGAGACACGGACCAGACUCCUACGGGAGGCAGCAGUGAGGAAUAUUGGACAAUGGGCGCAAGCCUGAUCCAGCCAUGCCGCGUGCAGGAUGACGGUCCUAUGGAUUGUAAACUGCUUUUGUACGGGAAGAAACCCUCCUACGUGUAGGAGCUUGACGGUACCGUAAGAAUAAGGAUCGGCUAACUCCGUGCCAGCAGCCGCGGUAAUACGGAGGAUCCAAGCGUUAUCCGGAAUCAUUGGGUUUAAAGGGUCCGUAGGCGGUUUAGUAAGUCAGUGGUGAAAGCCCAUCGCUCAACGGUGGAACGGCCAUUGAUACUGCUAGACUUGAAUUAUUAGGAAGUAACUAGAAUAUGUAGUGUAGCGGUGAAAUGCUUAGAGAUUACAUGGAAUACCAAUUGCGAAGGCAGGUUACUACUAAUGGAUUGACGCUGAUGGACGAAAGCGUGGGUAGCGAACAGGAUUAGAUACCCUGGUAGUCCACGCCGUAAACGAUGGAUACUAGCUGUUGGGCGCAAGUUCAGUGGCUAAGCGAAAGUGAUAAGUAUCCCACCUGGGGAGUACGU